rnacentral:rRNA from 1 species
GCCCUUAGAGUUUGAUCCUGGCUCAGGAUGAACGCUAGCUACAGGCUUAACACAUGCAAGUCGAGGGGAAACGAUAGAGAAAGCUUGCUUUUUCUAGGCGUCGACCGGCGCACGGGUGAGUAACGCGUAUCCAACCUGCCCACCACUUGGGGAUAACCUUGCGAAAGUAAGACUAAUACCCAAUGAUAUCUCUAGAAGACAUCUGAAAGAGAUUAAAGAUUUAUCGGUGAUGGAUGGGGAUGCGUCUGAUUAGCUUGUUGGCGGGGUAACGGCCCACCAAGGCGACGAUCAGUAGGGGUUCUGAGAGGAAGGUCCCCCACAUUGGAACUGAGACACGGUCCAAACUCCUACGGGAGGCAGCAGUGAGGAAUAUUGGUCAAUGGGCGAGAGCCUGAACCAGCCAAGUAGCGUGCAGGAUGACGGCCCUAUGGGUUGUAAACUGCUUUUAUAAGGGAAUAAAGUGAGAGUCGUGACUCUUUUUGCAUGUACCUUAUGAAUAAGGACCGGCUAAUUCCGUGCCAGCAGCCGCGGUAAUACGGAAGGUCCGGGCGUUAUCCGGAUUUAUUGGGUUUAAAGGGAGCGUAGGCCGGAGAUUAAGCGUGUUGUGAAAUGUAGAUGCUCAACGUCUGCACUGCAGCGCGAACUGGUUUCCUUGAGUACGCACAAAGUGGGCGGAAUUCGUGGUGUAGCGGUGAAAUGCUUAGAUAUCACGAAGAACUCCGAUUGCGAAGGCAGCUCACUGGAGCGCAACUGACGCUGAAGCUCGAAAGUGCGGGUAUCGAACAGGAUUAGAUACCCUGGUAGUCCGCACGGUAAACGAUGGAUGCCCGCUGUUGGUCUGAAUAGGUCAGCGGCCAAGCGAAAGCAUUAAGCAUCCCACCUGGGGAGUACGCCGGCAACGGUGAAACUCAAAGGAAUUGACGG